GACGAACGCUGGCGGCGUGCUUAACACAUGCAAGUCGAACGGAAAGGCCCUGCUUUUGUGGGGUGCUCGAGUGGCGAACGGGUGAGUAACACGUGAGUAACCUGCCCUUGACUUUGGGAUAACUUCAGGAGACUGGGGCUAAUACCGGAUAGGAGCUCCUGCUGCAUGGUGGGGGUUGGAAAGUUUCGGCGGUUGGGGAUGGACUCGCGGCUUAUCAGCUUGUUGGUGGGGUAGUGGCUUACCAAGGCUUUGACGGGUAGCCGGCCUGAGAGGGUGACCGGCCACAUUGGGACUGAGAUACGGACCAGACUCCUACGGGAGGCAGCAGUGGGGAAUAUUGCACAAUGGGCGGAAGCCUGAUGCAGCAACGCCGCGUGCGGGAUGACGGCCUUCGGGUUGUAAACCGCUUUCGCCUGUGACGAAGCGUGAGUGACGGUAAUGGGUAAAGAAGCACCGGCUAACUACGUG
rnacentral:rRNA from 1 species